CCCACCGAACUUCCGGGCCGCGCGCGCCCUCCUUACAGAGGCUAGUUUCAGACGGGCAUUUCGGAAGAGUGCCAACUGCUUACGAAACCGACGUGCUGGAGCGCGCUUUCGGGUCCUCUUGUCUGCCUGUUUGAUGAGCACUGGGUACCGCAAACUUGCUCGGUGAAGCGUGACGUGCACAACGGGGGCGCGCCUGCGCCUCCUGAAGGUGGGAGAGGAACCUCAGAGCACAGGGGCUACAUCAGCUUCAGGCUUAGAAGCUGCUCCCAGCUGAGUAAGGCUUCCAUCUCUCCAGGCAGCUGCUCAGCAAGGGAGGCAGGCAAAUGAAGAGACCUGCAUGCGAGGCCCCUUCCUCUCCUCUCCUAGGCAAUUAUUCCUUGAAGUUUUCUGUGAAUUGUAUAGAGAAAGUAACAGGCGGCAAAUAUAACCAGUCAGUGAGAAAAAGGCGUUCACUACCUUCCGGCCCAUGCCUUGGAGAGAGCGGCUGGGAUGGCGCCCAGGGCCCACAGCAAGCGUGAAGGGUGAAGGCAGGAAUGCAACACUACUCCCGGCUCUUUUCGCCUGAACAUCAUUACAAUUCAACUUUCAAAUUUCUGACUUUAAAGAUAUCUCAAAGAACCCAUGAAAAAAAUGCCAAGUUUUCAAGUAGAAUCUUGGCAUGCCGACAUUGUACAUGUGCCACUGAAGCAAGCACGGAAAGACGGAUGUUUUAAUGUUGAAACAACUGACUACUCAUUCUGGGGAUAAAAUUGCAUUACCACCCAACUCUAAUUCCAUAUGGACCACAUAUCUAAAGGAAAAAAAUAAAGAAGAUAACAUGAAGGAUUUUUAAAAAAAUAAUCUUGGCGUACAGAAGAUCUUUCUCUCUAAGCAUGAAAGAGUAUCUGGAAAUCAAAACUUAACACACAUAUCUGUAUAAAAAUUUAAAACUUCUAUUUAACAAAAAACACAAAAACAAAAUCAAGGGACAGAUGACUGAAAACCAUACAAAGCAUAUAUAACAGAAAAAUGCUAAUUUCCUUAGAAUAUAAAACCUAGAUAAAAGUUUCUUAUAGAUCAAAAGUGAAAAAGCAAACAAUCUAAUAAAAAAAGGGGCAAAAAAUAUAAACCGUUCACAAGGAAAGAAAUACAAAUAAAUGGUAGUAACAAUAUGAAAAAGUGACAAACUCAAGAAAUGCAAAUUACAAGGAGACAUAAUUUUUGACUAACAAAAAAAUAAGAUGUUUUAUAAUAUCCAGUUUUGGCCAGAAAAUAAAAAUGUAAAUUAACACAACUUCUUUGAAGGGCAAUUUAACAACUCUUACCAAAAUUUUCAAUUCACAGUCUACUGAUGCAGCAAGUUCAAUUCCAGGAAUUAAUCUUACAAAUGUACAAAAACAAGUUUGCAAUGAAGUAUAACAAUGGUUGCUGCAGCAUUUUUUGAAAUA